GAUGAAGAACGCAGCGAAAUGCGAUAAGUAAUGUGAAUUGCAGAAUUCAGUGAACCAUCGAAUCUUUGAACGCACAUUGCGCCCGGCAGUAAUCUGCCGGGCAUGCCUGUCCGAGCGUCAUUUCUGCCCUCGAGCGAGUCCAGCAUCUAGGUGCUGGGCCCGCCCGGCGUUGGGGCACUACGGGAAGCCCUGUGCUGUCCCCCGUAGGCCCCGAAAUGAAGUGGCGGUCCUGCCGCGGCGCCCCCUGCGUAGUAUAACAGCUCGCUUCGGGACCCGGUGGAGGCCUGCCGUCAAACCUUGCUCUCUAAGUUUGACCUCGGAUCAGGUAGGGUUACCCGCUGAACUUAAGCAUAUCAAUAAGCGGAGGA
rnacentral:misc_RNA from 1 species